GCGAGGACACGCGACUCGUGACAUUAUCGUACCGAGCCAAAAACCCCAAGUGCCAAGUGCCGAGUGAAGAGGCCACAAAAACAAGCGACUAACUAUCUGCCUCCAGAUAUAAUACUGCAAAAUUGUGCGAUUUAAACAUAAAACAAAAGAGACCAGUGCAUCCAGUGUUCUUUGGAUGAAAAAUAAACCUUAAAGCAAACAGCAGGCGAAGUGAAUUAACCAUAAACAAAACCCAAAAGCGAAAAGAAAGCGAAGCCGAGCAAAAAGCGAAAUUUAAACGUCUCUGCAUAUUAAUCAGGCGGAGGGAAACGUGAAUAGGAUCAGGUCCUAGACAACUUAUCACCGAGGAUUUACGCAGACAGACGAAAGACCGGUCCCAACUUUGCGAGUGUAGAGCAAAAGGCAGCAGUGCUAAUCAACGGCCAAGCCAGACGACAUUGCUCCCAGCUGGCCACGCCCACCCAACGCUCAUCCUACCUACGCCACAAAAACAAAAAAAGAAGAAGGAAAACCCAGAACAGAACAGGAGCAGGCGCAGGAGCUGGAGCAGGAGCAGGAGCCGCCUCAUUUGGCCACUGCGGAUUAUGUUAAUUAGAUUUUAAGCACGCGACGACGACGAAGAUGACGACGACAGCAACGACUGGGGAGCACUUGGCAUUGUAAUGUGACAACAGUUGGCUAAAAACACGGCGAAACGAAACAGCAACAGGAGAGGCGGGAAUGCUCGCUUUUUAAUUGACAUUUGCUCGAGUUGAGUUGCGUUUUGUUCAACAGCAAUUAGCCCGCCAAGGAAAACUUGGAAUUACUACGAAAACAACACCAAAAAAAACAACAAAAAAG